ensembl:misc_RNA
AGAUGGUCCCUGAGCUCCCCAAGAGUCCCCAAUGAAAGGAUUCCUCAGUGCUGCCUCUAUUAUUAUACCGUAAAUCUUUUUAAAUUCUGGAACUAAUUAUAUAGAGGAUAUGUCUCAAUUUGUUCUGCAUUAAUGCCACAGUGGGGAUAGAGGCCAGGCCGUGGCCAGAGCAGAUACGUAGGCCCAUGAAAUUGAUGAACUGAGAGUUGCUUCCAGUCCUGAGUGCACCAUCUGGAAUUCCAGUCUGAGGUUACAAUUAGAACUCCUGACCCCAGAUUCAACUUUGCAAACAGG